rnacentral:lncRNA from 1 species
UUACAAAUGUAAACAUGAAAAUCAGCGUUUCUUUGACUAUAUACUUAUACGAAUCUACAUACGUAUAAAUAUAUGUUCCAUCCAUCCUAUAGAUGGAACAUAUAUUAACAUUUAUAUAUAUUUAUUCUCCCACAUACGCAUCUUUUAUUCAAGUUGGUAUCAACAUGAUUUUGGAAAGAUUUUACCUACUUCCAUUGAAUAUCAGAUCUCUUAUAAAUAUAUGUUCCAUCCAUCCUAUAGAUUUUUCAAAACUAAAAUCGCCAAAAGAUUUGUGUUUUUUUUUUCAAUUACCUUUAUUUAUGUUUUUUUUUCCUCUUCCUGAACGGUCACAUUAGAUUAUCAAUAUUUCAAAAGGGGCUGGAUGAGGAUAUGUGAUUAUUUUGUGGAUCAUGAGAGCUCAACUUAAUUCACAAUUUUUUUGGGCUUCACCGUGUAAUAUAACUGGCUGAUAUCAAAGCCUAAUUUAAUUUCCUUUCAAAACCACUUUAAUUAGUAUGUUUUAUGUAAUUAUGUGUCAAAAAUGUGAUGUAGUUCUUUAACACCAAACAAACAUCAAAC